UUCUUUGCUUGUAAGUCACUUUAGACGGACCUUUGCCCAGAAAAGCAGCCUAAAAGCAUUUUAAAUAAACUACUGGCAAGUUACCUGCUCUGGAUAGGGUUGCACUUCUUCUGAAGUAGCACUGGCUAUCAGUGGCUGGGCAUGACAGGCACUGGGUAAGGAUCCCCAAGAUUGGAAGGGAUCCUCACCAGCCCAGCCCAGCCCAGGACCAUCGGCUGGGUGAGGACUGCAGGGCCUGCUCCCUUCCAGGGCCUUUUCCAACUGGCCCAGGGGGCGUGGCCCAGGCCCUCUCUCCGGCUAUAAAGGGACUCCUGCUGCGGGGAGGCCUCGGACCAUCGGCUGGGUGAGGACUGCAGGGCCUGCUCCCUUCCAGGGCCUUUUCCAACUGGCCCAGGGGGCGUGGCCCAGGCCCUCUCUCCCGGCUAUAAAGGGACUCCUGCUGCGGGGAGGCCUUGGACCAUCGGCUGGCGCUGCAGGAGCAUCAGUCAGUGUACGCCCAGUGAAAUCUGUACACCAGGAGCUGAUAAAUCGGAAGAUAGAGAGGAAAGUUUACGAAUUCUGCAAGCUCUCCUUUUUCUCCCAAUGAUCCCCUAAGCUGUUGAAAAUUUAUUUAAAAGUAAAAAUGAAAGAAACAAAGAAAGAAGAACCUUUACUGCACCUGGGAAAGCUGCAGA
rnacentral:lncRNA from 1 species